UUUUGUGGAGGAAUCCCCUUAGUGAAGUGGGCAUAAGAUUCACAAGGAGCCACAGAGGGAGCAGGAAGGAUUCAUUCAGACAUACACAGAAGACCAAAUCCCCAGGGGGCCUUCUUGACUUGUCACACAGACCUCCCUUUGGGGAUAUAAGAAACAGAAAGAGACUCCAUCUUUAUCCUUCAAAACUGGAAUGGAGACCGUAGAUGAUGAAUCUGAGCCAUGCAAAUUCCUCUGCUUUCCCUUCAAAUGACUAUCCUCCAAGAUGUGGACUUGAAAGAUUAUUCGAAUCAUUUCAGAUUUGGGAUGCAUUACAACAAAACAUUUAUGAUACCAAGAACAUAGAAAUUCAGCAAUGGGGAUUAUGCUCAUCUAAAAAUCUGAAUUUAAUUGCAACCAAUUUUAGUAGGAGGGAAGCCUUAUUGACAAAAAUUUAAAAAACCCAUUAACUGCAAGUGAGAGAUAUGGAACAUCUUCCGCAGCACCACAUGGAAGG